rnacentral:rRNA from 1 species
AGAGUUUGAUCCUGGCUCAGGACGAACGCUGGCGGCGUGCCUAAUACAUGCAAGUCGAGCGGAGAGGAGAGAGCUUGCUCUCGAAUCUUAGCGGCGGACGGGUGAGUAACACGUAGGCAACCUGCCUGUAAGACUGGGAUAACUCCGGGAAACCGAAGCUAAUACCAGAUAGAAUCUUAAGACCGCAUGGUCUAAAGAGG